rnacentral:lncRNA from 1 species
AAACCAGAAGCCUUGAGGCCCAGUCCAACCUCUGCCCAGGGUGUAAAACGACAUCUUUUCGGGACAUCUUCCUUCUGGCAAUGGGAAUGGUUUCGGUUGAAUAGGAAUUGGAAAAAAUAGAAGAGAGCGGGUGGAAAUGUGGCCGCUUAUGAAACACCACCGUUUGAAGACCAGCCUUCUUCCUCCUGUCGACGGAAAUGGUUCAGGUUAAUAGAAAACGGAAAAACAGAGAGAGAGAGAGAGCAGGUAGAAACAUGGCCGCUGAUGAUGAGAAGGUGGGGAUUGUUGGAAUGAUGAUGAUUGAUGGACGAUUCGAGCCAAAAAGGAGAAGAGAAGCGACAGGAUCAGGGAGCAGAGCAUGGCCUCGAUUGAUGAAGAAGAAAGGAAGUGAGAUUUCAUGAAAACUCCAAGUGAUUAAACUCCUUUUCUUCAAAUUAUUAUAUUAAUUUUUUAUGAAAUGUUGGA